AAAACAUGUCCUUUAGUAUUGAAUUUAAGGUCUAACCUGCCCACUGAUUUAUUAAAUGGCCGCAGUAUUUUAACUGUGCAAAGGUAGCAUAAUCAUUAGUCUUUUAAUUGGAGGCUUGUAUGAAUGGUUGGACAAAAUAUAUAUUGUUUCAUAUAAAUUUAUAGAAUUUUAUUUUUUAGUUAAAAAGCUAAAAUUUAAUUAAAAGACGAGAAGACCCUAUAGAUCUUUAUAAUUAUUGAAUUUAAUUUAUAAAGAAUAUUUUAUUUUUAAUUUAUUCAAUUAUUUUAUUGGGGUGAUAGCAAGAUUUAUUUAACUCUUGANUAAUUUACUACAUAAAUUAAUGAUUAAUUGAUCCAGUAUUAUUGAUUAAUAAAAUAAGUUACCUUAGGGAUAACAGCGUAAUUUUUUUAGAGAGUUCAUAUCGAUAAAAAAGAUUGCGACCUCGAUGUUGGAUUAAGAGAUAAGUUUGGGCGCAGCCGUUCAAAUUUAAAGUCUGUUCGACUUUUUAAUUCUUACAUGAUCUGAGU
rnacentral:rRNA from 1 species